GCAGCCUUGGGGCCUGCUGCUUUACUCUCCCUGGGAGCAAAGUCCCCCCCUUCCCCCCCAGCAGCCUGGGGGUGGUGGGGAGACAGGCGGGAGAGAGAGCAGGCUUUCCCCACCCCACCUGGGACUGGUGCUAACAAGCUCCCAUUGGCUCCUACUGGGCACCCAGGCUUUUCACCCCUUAACUCCUCUCUUAAAGCCCAGAGCCCACCCCGAUUUGCAGAUGAGAAGACUGAGGCCCCGACAGGAGGUGCAGGGCUGCGGGCCGAGGGCCCUGCUGCACAUUCCUCACGGCCAUGCGGCGAGGUCGGGAGUUAUCGUCCCCAUUUGUGAGCUAGGGAAGCUGAGGCUCACAGAAGCGCCAUCGUCAUUUUGAUGAUCUGCACCCCUUCACCCCCUCCGGUCGGAGGUCCCCACUGCAAGGACCCCAAGGUCCCUGAGGGCCCGGGGGUCGCAACCCCAGCAUUUCAAACAGCUUGAAACCAAGCAAGAGCCAACUACGUUAUUUGUUGAAGGAACCAGAGAGGGGUGGGGAGGAAUCAGGAUCCGAACCGCAGUCUGUUUGGGAAUCCAGUGCGUCUAUCCACUCAAGCGUACGGUCUCCUUAAAUGGCCAAGGAUGAGCUCUUUAUAGAUUUGGGAGAAUAUACCACAAACUGCCAAAGUGCCUCCCUCUGAGGAGUAUGUGGAAGGAAACGGGGAGGGAGCUUUUGUUUUUUUUUUUUUUUUUUGAACCGUAUGUAUUUCUAUAUUUAUUUGAAUUUUUCUAAGGCCCACGUAUUACUUUCAUAAUCUAGAAAGUGAUGCAUGCAGGAUUAGGUGAUUCUCCCCCCUUCUCGGUGAACUCUCCUUAACCCCUUAGAUCCAGACGCAUCACCUGCACACACGUUCCUCAGCUCACAGAUUCCUCCCCUCGGCCAAUGGUAGAGAACAUCAGCACAGCUUCAAACCAUCUGCUCCUACGCAGAACCAAGCUAAAAGAAGGAUUAUUUGAAAAACGUCCUUGGAAGCUGUGAGGCUCCGCCCGGGGAGGUGGGAGGCGUCAGAGUCACCUGGGAGGUUUUCCUGAACCGCACAGCCCUGGGGCCCCACCCCCAGGAUCGGUGGGUUGGGUUUUAAGUCUUGUGCAGGGCAAGCCACGGAGAGGACCACUGGUUUCAGGGACACACUACUAGAGAUCUCUACCUUGCUCCUUGGAUCAGCUCGGGCGGGGGCAAUCCCAUCCUCCCCAGAGCUGCUGGGCCUCGGGGGAUCUUUUGCAUCCAACGCUUAACUUCUGUCACCAGGGGCGACCAGAACUGCCCUCUGCACCGUUUAGGGCUUAACCAUCUCAACUCUUAGCACCCUCCACCUCAGCCUUCUUCCGUGGGGCCCCUGAAUCAGAGGGGGAAAGGGGCAGGAUCACAGCUGGUGCCAGCGACGGCUCAUCUAUGCUGCAGCGGAGGCCCUCGUGGUGGGAACCUGUCAGGCCCAUGAACGGUGGGCAGAAGAAAAGCUGAGAUGUGACACUGUGCACAGCAGCAUCUGAGAAGCUGCAGCAAGACACGGUCGGGAAAAUCUGACUCCCUAAAAGAACCACAAUUUUUUUCUCCUUUAGAAUAAAGAACUUGGUAAUGGACCAUUUCCCUUUUUGCCCUGGCUACCAGGAAGCUCAGAGGUCAUAUUUACUCUCAUAGCUACAUAGCUACUGCAUCUGUUUUUCAUUUCUUUCU